CUCCCGGGGGAGCCAUGUUAGGUAGCGGGACGCCACCCUUGCCACUCUUCUGAGAAUGCCACCCAAUAACACGCCCUGCUUUCCUUCUCCUCCGCCGUCUCUUCCAUCAACCGUCUCCUUCUCACAUGUUAUUGCAGUUAAUAAAAAAGCGCUCGUUUCUUCACAAAAGCAGUUGUUUCAUUGUAUAAUGUGAGAAGUUUGCGUUUAGGCGGUUAGACGCAAAGCAGUGGAAUAAAUGCCCUGCUCAGCCUGCCAACCUUCGGAACCAGCAAACAGACUCGUUAUUAGGUGCCACGAUCCAGUGAGCGCCCGACUCGGGUCUCUGGCAGCCUGCGAGGUUUAUGCGUGACUUUUGGUCCCUCGCGGCCCCUGUAGCGUCCCCAGCUACGGCGCCCCUAGCAACCGCCCUCCCUAGCAAGGAGCCGCAGGGCCGCCAGGGGCCGCGCCUGCUUUCCCGCCCCGGGCCAGCGCAGGCGCUGAGGCCGCGGAGGCGGGGUGAUGGCCGCCUCCCACCAAGCGGCGAAACUGGCGGCCUCCAGUCUCCAGGUACCGGUCAAUCCCAUUACUGGGGCGCGGGUCGCCCAGUACGAACGCGAAGACCCCUUAAAGGCCCUGGCGGCAGCUACAGCGACCUCGGAGGACGAAGAGGAGGAGAAAGUGGCGCAGCCCGCGGGGGCGUCGGCCGAUUUUAACACCAACUUUUCUGGGGUGGAUGAACAUGCACCGAGAAGCUCUGAGGACUUUGUGAACCUUUCUGGUAUUUACCACUCUAAUGAGGAGUAUUUCAAGAAAUUAGAAGAGUUGAAGGCUGCCCACAUAGAAACUAUGGCAAAAUUAGAGAAAAUGUACCAGGAUAAAUUAAAUUUAAAGGAAGUUCAGCCAUUGGUCAUCAGGGAAGACUCUCUUAGUGACUCUUCCAGAUCUGUAUCAGAAAAGAACUCCUAUCACCCUGUCUCAUUAAUGACAUCAUUUUCAGAGCCUGAUUUAGGCCAGUCUUCCUCCUUGUAUGUGUCCUCCUCUGAAGAGGAGUUGCCCAACCUAGAAAAAAAGUAUCCUAAGAAAGACAGAAUGAUGACCUAUGCUAAGGAGCUCAUCAACAACAUGUGGACAGAUUUUUGUGUUGAAGAUUAUAUUCGCUGUAGACAUACUGGCUUCCAAGCAGCUGAAAAAAGGAAGAAACGAAAAGAAUGGGUGCCCACGAUAACAGUACCGAAGCCUUUUCAAAUGAUGAUAAGAGAACAGAAGAAAAAAGAAGAGUUCAUGAAAUCUAAAUCAGAUAUCGAAAUGGCACAUAAACUGCUCAAAAAGCAAGAAGAGGAUCCAGAGUGUAAGAAGAAAUUCCGAGCCAAUCCAGUUCCUGCAUUUGUCCUUUUCCCCCUUUACCAUGAUUUAAUCAAGCAAAAAGAAGAACAGAGAAGGUCUCUGAAGGAGAAAAGCAAAGAAGCUCUUUUGGCCUCACAAAAGCCAUUUAAAUUUAUAGCAAGGGAGGAACAGAAGCGAGCAGCCCAGGAAAAGCAGCUGAGAGACUUUUUUAAGUCUAAAAAGAAAACAAAUCGAUUUAAAGCCAGACCCAUUCCUCGAUCUACUUAUGGUUCAACUACCAAGGACAAGUUAAAAGAAGAAGAGCUCUAUCGAAACCUUAGGAUGCAGCUGAGAGCCCAGGAGCGUUUACAGAACUCAUCUUCUCUGCCUUCUAGGUCAGCUUGCGGAUGCAGGAAUCCCAGGUGUCCUGAACAGGCUGUAAAGUUGAAGUGUAAACACAAGGCUAGGUGCCGGACUCCUGAUUUUGAGGCCCUUCCUGAGAGAUAUCAGAAACACCUCUCAGAGCAUGAGUCUCCAAAACUCUUAACGGUGUGUAAACCAUUUGAUCUUCAUUCAUCUCCACAUGCAUCUACUAAAAGAGAAAAAAUUUUGGCAGACAUCAAAGCAGAUGAAGAAAAUUUAAAAGAAACUCGUUGGCCUUAUUUGUCUCCAAGGCAUAAGUCACCAGUAAGAUGUGCAGGUGUAAAGCCUGUGCCUUGUACCUGCAACCCUCCAGUGCCCACGGCAUCUUCCAGAAAACGAGAACAAGCCAUAAGGAGAUCACUUGAGGAAAAGAAAAUGUUGGAAGAAGAGAGAAAUCGGAUGCUAACUAAACAGAAGCAAAGAAUGAAAGAAUUGCAGAAACUCCUGACAACCCGGGCUAAGGCUUAUGACUCACAUCAAAGUUUAGCUCAGAUAUCUAAAUACAGAGUAAAAUAUCUCAGAAAGAGUGAAAAGGAAAGGAUGAGAGCAUACCGACGAGAACUAGAAGAAAGAGAAGAAAAGUUAAAAAAGAGGCCACUGCUAUUUGAAAGAGUUGCUCAGGUUUGUCUUUCCUGUAGAAAAAUGCAAGAAUGGCAGCAGAAAAGCAUUAUUCUGUUACCCUAAAAGCACUAGGAAUAUCUGAUGAGUUUGUUUCAAAGAAAGGCCAAAGUGGAAAAGUACUUGAGUACUUCAACAAUCAGGAGACGAAAAGUGUCACCGAAGACAAAGAAAGCUUUAAUGAAGAAGAAAAAAUAGAAGAGAGAGAAAAUGGGGAAGAAAAUUAUUUUAUUGAUACCAACAGCCAGGAUUCUUACAAGGAAAAAGGUGAAGCUGAUGAAGAGAGUGGAGAAGAGAAAUCUGUUGAAGAAUCACAUUGAACCAUCAAGGUCUCCUCUCUAUGCCCUUGCUGCUGUUUGCAGCGUCAGGGUGUCAGCAGCUGCAUUUGUGUUUAGAACAUCUGUGGGGACACCUCUGAUAUGUGCAGGGCAGUUGAGCAAAGUCAUCUGUAGCCUGAAAAGCCUGAAUCCAGCUUAUUGGUCAUUUGAUCAGUUAGAGUAAGGCUUUGCCUAUUCAGUUUUAAAAAUCAUUAUAUACAAUCUGUUUGCAACUAUGAUUUUGUAUUUUUUAAAAGUGUUUGAGAAUCACAGCUUUCACAAACUGUUAUAAAAAUAUAUGUUGUUUCAUUAAUUUUAGUAGAAAAAAUGGCUUAGUAUUGAAAGCAGAGAGAAAUAUUGGUCUUUGGUGAUUUACUUUUUAAAAUUUUCUGGAAAGUGUGAAUCAAUAAGUAUUUUUAAUUAUACUAUUUGUCCAUUCUUUUUCUCUGAAAUACAUUUCACAGAAUAAAUCCUUGAACUUAUUUUGCUACUCUGAGCCAUUUUUAAAACUAAAGAAAAAAAUACUUACAAAUUUUAUUUUUGCACUGAAAGUUUACUGUUAAAUUGUCUACACCAUCAUCCCUUUUUCUUUUAAUCCUUAGUUCUAGUCCAAACUAUUUUUGAUAUGUAAAUUAUUAGGAACGUUUUUAUACUAGCUUUUUUAAACUUUUGCAUUAUUACAGAUGGAAGUAUUUAUGGCAUGUGUGAGUUAUAAUCUAAAUUGGGGGCAAGUAUUCCUGUUUUAUAUAUGAUGAAAUGGUACAUAAUAACUUGGCUAAGGAAAGUAUCCAAAAUAAUUCAGAUUUAACUCUUUACUGCUAGACCCAGGUGUGUUCAACUUUUUACAUAUUGUUGCAAACACACUUUGUCUCUCUGUGUACAAUGUUAAUCUGAUUUUAUGAAUCUAUAGUUUUUUUUCUUUAAGCAAAUUUUUGUUUUAAAAUUUGAAGCCAAUCAUAAAGCUGUUACAGCAUAAGACAUUUUCUUUUCUAAAAACAAUCAGCAUAAUUGUAAAAGGAUGAACUCAUAUAAGUGUACAUAAUAGCAGUGUUUCCCAACUGGCAAUUUGUGUUUUAAAUUGAAAAAUAAGGUUAUUUUUCUUCAUCAGGGGCAAAUGUUAACUUGUAAUUUCCUUCCUACAGUUCAUGUUAAAUUACUUUUCACUUUUAUUAAAUUGUAAACUCCUUGGGAAUUGGCACCAUUUACAAAUUCAUCUUUGUAUUCCCUUAAUAUUUGGUGCAGGAUUGUACGUAUGGUAGGUACUUAAUAAAGGUUUGAAUGACUGUGCAGAU